ACUGUCCGCGCUUACACCUUUGGCGUUCUUUACUUUGUAGAGGUUGACAUUGAACUACCAGAAGAGUUGCCUCUUAAGGAGGCACAUGCAAUUGGAGAAACUUUGCAGAACAAAAUUGAGAAGCUUCCAGAAGUCGAAAGGGCCUUUGUUCAUCUUGACUUUGAGUGUGAACACAAGCCAGAGCACUCUGUUCUCAGCAGGCUGCCCAAUAGUUCAGAUUAGUAUUACAUAAAUGUUUAUUUAUAUUUUUUGAGGAGUUUUGUGGAAUAGAAAUAGAGAAUUUCUCAUGAAGAAAAGUCUUGUACAAUGCAGAUGAUGAGUCAAAUAGCUGGUCAUGUACCUUUCUCCUUGGAGGUUCAAACGGAGGCCCCUUUAUUUCCAUUAAUAGCAUUUAACCAGUCAAGAGUGAUAGGAAAAAAAAUAUAAAUAAACAUUUAUGUAAU
rnacentral:misc_RNA from 1 species